CACCCAUUUGCUGAUGAUCAGUUAAAAAACCUUACCACACAUACAGUGUGUGCUUAUGCAUGGUGCUCAAUAGAUGCGCGUCUACAAAAAGUCCUGCAGCAUCAAAAGGAUCAACACUGAUGAAAACGACAGAUACUUUACAUGCAUUUAUUCACAUGAGCACUGCUACGUUACAGUUUGUCACAGGGCUGGAACAGAAAGACAUCCAACCAUUCGCACCUGUGGGCAAUUUAGAAUCACCAGCUUACCUAACCACACUAACUGCAUGUGUUUGGACUGUGGAGUACCCAGAGGGAACCCACGCAAACACGGGGAGAACAUGCAAACUCCACGUUGGAAGGCCGAGCGAGUUGAUGGAUUCAAACCCAGGAUCUUGUUACUGUUACUGCUGUACUGCUGCCCAUGAUCAUGUUUCUUUGAAUGGACAAGCAUUAAUUUGUGGGGGCAGGACCAUGUGGUAAUAUUACUACCUGACAUGCUGAGUGUUUAUCUCCACGGCAUACACUGGAUUGAAUGGCAGACUGGGGAAGCUCACCAGCAGAAAUACUUCACAGAUUAUCACCUUAGCCCCUGGACAUAUGAAUCAAAUUUCAAGAAAGCUGAUUAACUGGUUGAAAUA